UUGCCCAAUGAUUAUAGCAAGACGCGUUAUUACGAGGACUAAUGCUGGAACUCUACUUACUCUUAUUCUUCCCUUUCUUCUUUGUCCUUCUUUGCUUUCACUUUUUAUCCCUCACCUAUUUUCUUGGGGUGUCCAGCGUCCUAUGAACAAGAUUAUGAGAUAUGAGGGCAA
rfam:Alligator mississippiensis ScZkoYb_106, whole genome shotgun sequence.